rnacentral:lncRNA from 1 species
CGUUAAGGCCUGACGACACUGCCAUCAAGAAUGCUGGUGCGUGAUUUCUUCAAAGCCCAUUCGCAUCACAGUGCUGAAGCUAUGACAGCGUCACAGCUGCUUUGGUAUCCAGUUAUUUCAGAGCUCAGACUUCCAAAUUUCAACACGUGGUGGUUUUCAAACAGGCCUGGAACAAAAGGCGCCCUUGGCUGUGAAUUUAUAUCGUGACGCUCCCGCACACCUUCCGAGCCUAACCUCAAUGGCUGGGAAGCUCACUUAGAUUCCAGCCGCGCGGACCCUUCCCCUUCGCCCCCUUCCCGGUUCCACGGACCCCUGACGCUCCGCCAACUUGGCCGCCCUCACAGGCCGCUCGUUUCCGACAGUUUUGGGGCGUCCGUGCAGCUUGCGCGGCGUUGUUUGCGGACCCCCCUCACCCAGCGCCUCGGCACAGGUAGGCGCCAGGACUGGGACCGGAACUCCCCAGGAGAGCGGCUGGAAGACCGCGGAGACCGAGGACCUCCACGAAGCGCGCGUGCGCCCAGGAGCCGCCGGAAGUGGGGCCGCUCGAGCCCCCACGGCCGCCGUAGCGGGUCCCCGGGAGCUGGGCGUGCGGCCGGGAACGGGUGGAUUCGCAGAGGGGAGGCGGGGACGCUGGAGAUCGCGGUGGAAUCAGGGAAAACCCAGAUCAGCGUGCGAGUUUCUGGCGGAAGAGCUUAAGGAGGGGAGAGGUUCCGCGGCUGUGCGUGGCUCUGAGGUGGGGAUGACUUUGCUGCCAGGCCCGGGGGACUGCGGUGGGCAGUCGGUCAGGCUCUGUGGAGAUCAAGGACUGAGACUCGUGAGGUCAGAGUCUGGGGUCUGUGCGGGUCCCUGUGCCAGGGGCGGUCCGGGUUUGAGAACUGGAGGCGAGUGGGUAUCUGUCGAUGAAAGUGUUGUCCAGUUCCCUGUCCUCCGACUGGUUUGCAAGGCUCCUGAGGCCCCCACAGGUCCUGGAUUCCCAGGAAUAAGAGAGAUCCAGUAAAGGACGAGUCGGAGGUUCCUGGAGUUGCAUACAGCCAGUUGUGGGACAUCCGUGUCCUAAGACCAAGAUUUCUUAACAGAAAAUCAGGACAGAUCCAGAAGAGACUAACAUCCCCGUUACUGGGCAUUUCCUGAAACAGAAGAAAAUGCUGAAGGUCCAGGUGACUUUUGGUUUGUUUUAUUGGUAACUUGAGUCCUUCAUGGAUUUGGGGAGGCCUGAAAAAAAUCAGUUCAACUAAAUAAUAAAUUAAAAAUAUUGAGAAAAAUGGCUCUGGGGAAAAACAGAUGUCUCUUCAAAACCAGGGCAGAGUGGGAUCAGGAACAUGUUGUUCCUAGAGUUCGUGCGUGACCAGUGCUGGAAUAUGGCGUACGGCUCUGCAGGACCCUGCCGGUGAC